AUGGAAACAAGUUCAUCUCCUAGAAGAAGCAAAACAAAUGGAGGAGGGUUAUUUUCAUGUUGGAGGGGUCUCAAAUUCAAGAUUCCAUGGAAGAGAAGAACAAACAACACUUAUAAGUAUGACCCUUUAAGCUAUGCUCAAAAUUUUGAUGAUGGCAAUUGGGAAGAAGACGAUGAAGAAUCUUUAGGCCGCGGUUUCUCGGCUAGAUAUGCUGCACCUUCGGCUAAAACAUUCAGGCAAUGA